UUACCUGGUCCGGACACGGAAAGGAUUGACAGAUUGAUAGCUCUUUCUCGAUUCUGUGGGUGGUGGUGCAUGGCCGUUCUUAGUUGGUGGAGCGAUUUGUCUGGUUAAUUCCGAUAACGAACGAGACUCCUCCAUUUGACGAGCCGGAGAAGGCCGUGGUAAUGGAAAUUUUUGUUUACAAAAGUUUCUGCUAUCAUUGUUGAAGGCAUCGUAUAGUUGCCAAGGGUGUAUUGGUUGAGGUGGCAACAUCAAGGCUGAUGCAUUUGAGGUAAUCUGUGCGCUCCCUCCGGCUUAGCAGUGCAUGUCUUGCAAGAGUCGUGUAUUGUAUCAUGGAGAGACAACGGAAAAUAUUUUAAAAAUCCGAGGAAGUGUGGCUAUAACAGGUCUGUGAUGCCCUUAGAUGUUCAGGGCUGCACGCGCGCUACAAU
rnacentral:rRNA from 1 species